AGGUCAGCAUGCCCCGAAUUAUCCGGGCGUACACGCGGGCUACAAUGGUCAGGGACAAUGGGUAUCGACACCGAGAGGUGGAGGCAAUCUCCUAAACCUGUCCUUAGUUCGGAUUGUGGGCUGCAACUCGCCCACAUGAAGCUGGAAUCCGUAGUAAUCGCGUUUCAAAUAGCGCGGUGAAUAUGUCCCUGCUCCUU
rnacentral:rRNA from 1 species